rnacentral:rRNA from 1 species
GAUGAACGCUGGCGGCGUGCCUAAUACAUGCCAGUCGAGCGAACAGACGAGGAGCUUGCUCCUCUGACGUUAGCGGCGGACGGGUGAGUAACACGUGGAUAACCUACCUAUAAGACUGGGAUAACUUCGGGAAACCGGUGCUAAUACCGGAUAAUAUAUUGAACCGCAUGGUUCAAUAGUGAAAGACGGUUUUGCUGUCACUUAUAGAUGGAUCCGCGCCGCAUUAGCUAGUUGGUAAGGUAACGGCUUACCAAGGCAACGAUGCGUAGCCGACCUGAGAGGGUGAUCGGCCACACUGGAACUGAGACACGGUCCAGACUCCUACGGGAGGCAGCAGUAGGGAAUCUUCCGCAAUGGGCGAAAGCUUGACGGAGCAACGCCGCGUGAGUGAUGAAGGUCUUCGGAUCGUAAAACUCUGUUAUUAGGGAAGAACAAAUGUGUAAGUAACUAUGCACGUCUUGACGGUACCUAAUCAGAAAGCCACGGCUAACUACGUG